CUUCAGUCAGUCAAGCAUGCAAUCUAUGCUAUGACAACAUUACAUAUAACAGAUACAGUUUUUUGAAAACAUUAGAACAUUAGUUACAUAUCAAGUUUCUACAAUUUCCACUCUCCCAAAACAUAACUUCGUAUCAUUAUCUUAUCUCUCAAGGAUUAGAAGACAUACAAUACCUUUCAUGUGGGAAUGCAAGUUUAGCUGCGAAAUCAGGAUAUCUCACAUUCAAAUUUUCUGGAGUUUCUCGGCAUCAAAACUACAAAGGGAAUGGAAAGGACUUAGCUCUUCACUGGGAUAAACAUCCGGAACAUUCUUAUAUUGUACCAAACAUACAUUACCAUAACGGUGAAAUAACCAUACCUGAGGGACGAACGUAUUACAUUUACGCAUCCGUACACUUCAACAUUUCUCAAGGUAACGACAAAACUGACAGACCAAGAAAGUUUACAUUGCGAAUUUGUCGAAAGGUUUAUGGAUAUGAACAAACUUUGCUAGGAAAAACUCAAUUGUUUAACAUCAGUCAUGGUGAUGUUGUUUCGAGUCUGAACAUUGGAAGUUAUCUGCAGAUGUCUAGAAAUGACACAAUUUAUGUUAAAGUUUCUGACGCGUAUUCGAUCAUUCGUGAGUCCCGAGGUAAUGCAUUUGGUAUGUUUCCACUAUCAGCCUGAUGAGCCGUGAGGCGAAACUACUGACUCAAAAGUGGCAAUUCUGAACUUGCACUUGAGUCAAUAGUCGCUGAAUACUUUGGAAUCAAUAAAACACCAUGUACAUUUAUUCCUUAGAUUCAGUACAUAUAAUGAAAUCGACGAUUUUAGGCAAGGAUAGAAAUGCUUGCUUAAAAUAUAUAUAUACUUCGUUAUAUCAAAGUAGUCAAUAUGUUUGUUAAGUAUUGACUUUUCUGAGUUAUGCCAAAAAUAUCCGAAAUGAUGCAUAUGUACAAGGGUUGAUCCAGAAGUAAUGUCGUUGUAGCCAUAAAGUUUAUAAUUAACAGAAACAACAUCAAUUUAUACCGAAGAAUCAUGAUGCAUUUGCAAUAAUUUUUGAAAAUAUCAUAAAAUUUUGCUUACUUCUCGAGACAUCGACAUGUACAGAAAACAUGGAAACAAGCCUCAAGUCACUGAAGUUAAUGACGUCAGAAAUAGACAUUUUAGUCAAUAAGCAAUAAGAAGCCUAAGCACUUCAUAGCCAUCUUUAACCUGCGAAGAUAGCACUACAGUUUUCACAGUUGACUGCUGAAAGACGUAACUUCACAUCAUGAUAAUUUCAUUUGAUAAAGUAUGUAAUUUUAAUGUCAACUGGAGAUUGUCUUUAUUUUAAUUGUUCAAUUUUGUUUAUGAAAUACAUUUUUUUUGUCGUCAGGUGUGAACUUUGAAGUUCUAAAAUGUUUAAAACGAUACAACCCUAGAAAAUAAGAUUUACUAAUGUCAUCAUAAUUGAAUUAAAACGAACACAUUUCUUUAGAGGAAGAAUGAGGUAUGACAUAUGUACAUGUGACAGGGGCAUGGUCAAAUUAAAUUACCUGAUAAGUAAUUAAGGCACUACAUCUUUCAUUAAAACCCUCAUUUAAAUUGUCAAUGGAGCUGUGUCACCGUUUUUUAAACGAGCAGCAUAUAUGUUGCCUAUUUUCACGUGUUCAAACCAAGCUAGUAUCACUGAUUUUGUUUUACCGUUUUCACUGUUGGUUUCUGUUCAGCUUGAAAUACUAUUUUGUUGGUUUGUCGCAAAAUUUUGUGUUUUUAAAAUAAAAGAAUUAGGAUAAUUCAAUUAAAACACAAACGGGCUAAUUUAAAAAUAGAUCUGUUAUUAAAUGGCCGGACUUAUACAUCUAAACGGGUAACUUGUUUCAUUUUUACUUAAAAGUGUUGCAUAUAGACUAAACACAUAUUUCUUAAUAUAAUAUGUUUAUGGAUACUAUACAGUGUGAUCUAAAAUAAAGCU